rnacentral:rRNA from 1 species
ACUUUACUUUAGUUUAACUGGGGCAGUUAAUUAAUAAAAAUUUUAAUAAAGAUUAAGUACUAAAUAGANNNCCCAACANUAGUUGAUUACANUGAACAAGUUACUGUAGGGAUAACAGCGUAAUAUAUAUCUAAAGUUCUUAUUUUGAUAUAAGUUUGCGACCUCGAUGUUGAAUUNAUAUUACUUUCAAGCGCAAGAGCCUGAAAAGUGGGUCUGUUCGACCCCUAAAUAUAUACAUGAUUUGAGUUCAAAUCGGUGUAAACCAGAUUGGUUUCUAUCUAUUNUUAUUUGUGUCUUAGUACGAAAGGACCUGAAACAAUAUUAUAUAAUNAUUUAUAUGGCAGAAAAAUGCUUUAGAUUUAGGAUCUAAUUAUAAUAGAUUAUUAUACUCUAUUUAACUUGCCUAAUCUCUGUUAUUAGAAUCCUUAUCGCAGUAGCUUUUUAUACCCUCCUAGAGCGAAAAA